UUGUUGAAUGGGUUGCAGUAUUAUAUGC
rnacentral:sRNA from 1 species